rnacentral:rRNA from 1 species
AGAAUCAACGCUGGCGGCGUGCCUAACACAUGCAAGUCGAACGAGAAAGUGGAGCAAUCCAUGAGUAAAGUGGCGACCGGGUGAGUAACACGUGACUAACCUACCUUCGAGUGGGGGAUAACCUCGGGAAACCGAGGCUAAUACCGCAUAACAUCGCAAGAUCAAAGCAGCAAUGCGCUGGAAGAGGGGGUCGCGGCUGAUUAGCUAGUUGGCGGGUAACGCCACCAAGGCGAAGAUCGGUA